GGUGAGUAACACGUGAGCAACCUGCCGGGAAGCCCGGGAUAGCCCUCCGAAAGGAGGAUUAAUACCGGAUGUGGCCACCCUGCGAUUGCAGGGGAAGCUAAAGGAUUUAUUCACUUCCCGAGGGGCUCGCGGUCCAUCAGCUUGUUGGUGAGGGUAACGGCCCACCAAGGCGACAACGGGUAGCUGGUCUGAGAGGAUGGUCAGCCACACUGGAACUGAGACACGGUCCAGACACCUACGGGUGGCAGCAGUCGAGAAUCAUUCGCAAUGGGGGAAACCCUGACGAUGCGACGCCGCGUGGAGGAUGAAGGCCUUAGGGUUGUAAACUCCUGUCAAGAGGGAAUAAGCAAGUGAAGGUACCUCUAGAGGAAGGGGCGGCUAAUUCCGUGCCAGCAGCCGCGGUAACACGGAAGCCCCGAGCGUUGUUCGGAUUCAUUGGGCGUAAAGGGUGCGUAGGCGGCGCGGAAAGUCCGGCGUGAAAGGCAGAGGCUCAACCUCUGGACUGCGUUGGAUACUUCCGUGCUUGAGGACUGGAGGGGAGACUGGAAUUCACGGUGUAGCAGUGAAAUGCGUAGAUAUCGUGAGGAAGACCGGUGGCGAAGGCGAGUCUCUGGACAGAUCCUGACGCUGAGGCACGAAGGCUGGGGGAGCGAACAGGAUUAGAUACCCUGGUAGUCCCAGCAGUAAACGAUGUGAGCUUGAUGUGGGGGGAUUCGACCCCUUCCGUGUCGAAGCUAACGCGAUAAGCUCACCGCCUGAGGAGUACGGCCGCAAGGCUAAAACUCAAAGAAAUUGACGGGGACCCGCACAAGCGGUGGAGUAUGUGGCUUAAUUCGAUGCAACGCGAAGAACCUUACCUGGCCUUGACAUGCAUUGUGUCGUCGGUGAAAGCCGGCUAGUCCUGGAAACAGGACGCUUUGCACAGGUGCUGCAUGGCAGUCGUCAGCUCGUGUCGUGAGAUGUUGGGUUAAGUCCCGCAACGAGCGCAACCCUUGUGGUCAGUUACUAACCGGCUUAGCCGGAGGACUCUGGCCAGACUGCCCUGUCGAACGGGGAGGAAGGUGGGGAGGACGUCAAGUCAGUAUGGCCCUUAUGGCCAGGGCUGCACACGUACUACAAUGCCCGGUACAAUGUGAACCGAAACCGCGAGGUGGAGGAAAUCGCU
rnacentral:rRNA from 1 species